UACGUAGGGUGCGAGCGUUAAUCGGAAUUACUGGGCGUAAAGCGUGCGCAGGCGGUUCGUUAAGUUCGUUGUGAAAGCCCCGGGCUCAACCUGGGAACUGCAAUGGAAACUGGCGGGCUUGAAUGCGGCAGAGGGGGGUGGAAUUCCGCGUGUAGCAGUGAAAUGCGUAGAGAUGCGGAGGAACACCGAUGGCGAAGGCGGGUCUCUGGGCCGACAUUGACGCUCAGGCACGAAAGCGUGGGGAGCAAACAGG
rnacentral:rRNA from 1 species